AAAUUGAAGAGUUUGAUCAUGGCUCAGAUUGAACGCUGGCGGCAGGCCUAACACAUGCAAGUCGAACGGUAACAGGAAGCAGCUUGCUGUUUUGCUGACGAGUGGCGGACGGGUGAGUAAUGUCUGGGAAACUGCCUGAUGGAGGGGGAUAACUACUGGAAACGGUAGCUAAUACCGCAUAACGUCGCAAGACCAAAGAGGGGGACCUUAGGGCCUCUUGCCAUCGGAUGUGCCCAGAUGGGAUUAGCUAGUGGGUGGGGUAACGGCUCACCUAGGCGACGAUCCCUAGCUGGUCUGAGAGGAUGACCAGCCACACUGGAACUGAGACACGGUCCAGACUCCUACGGGAGGCAGCAGUGGGGAAUAUUGCACAAUGGGCGCAAGCCUGAUGCAGCCAUGCCGCGUGUAUGAAGAAGGCCUUCGGGUUGUAAAGUACUUUCAGCGGGGAGGAAGGGAGUAAAGUUAAUACCUUUGCUCAUUGACGUUACCCGCAGAAGAAGCACCGGCUAACUCCGUGCCAGCAGCCGCGGUAAUACGGAGGGUGCAAGCGUUAAUCGGAAUUACUGGGCGUAAAGCGCACGCAGGCGGUUUGUUAAGUCAGAUGUGAAAUCCCCGGGCUCAACCUGGGAACUGCAUCUGAUACUGGCAAGCUUGAGUCUCGUAGAGGGGGGUAGAAUUCCAGGUGUAGCGGUGAAAUGCGUAGAGAUCUGGAGGAAUACCGGUGGCGAAGGCGGCCCCCUGGACGAAGACUGACGCUCAGGUGCGAAAGCGUGGGGAGCAAACAGGAUUAGAUACCCUGGUAGUCCACGCCGUAAACGAUGUCGACUUGGAGGUUGUGCCCUUGAGGCGUGGCUUCCGGAGCUAACGCGUUAAGUCGACCGCCUGGGGAGUACGGCCGCAAGGUUAAAACUCAAAUGAAUUGACGGGGGCCCGCACAAGCGGUGGAGCAUGUGGUUUAAUUCGAUGCAACGCGAAGAACCUUACCUGGUCUUGACAUCCACGGAAGUUUUCAGAGAUGAGAAUGUGCCUUCGGGAACCGUGAGACAGGUGCUGCAUGGCUGUCGUCAGCUCGUGUUGUGAAAUGUUGGGUUAAGUCCCGCAACGAGCGCAACCCUUAUCCUUUGUUGCCAGCGGUCCGGCCGGGAACUCAAAGGAGACUGCCAGUGAUAAACUGGAGGAAGGUGGGGAUGACGUCAAGUCAUCAUGGCCCUUACGACCAGGGCUACACACGUGCUACAAUGGCGCAUACAAAGAGAAGCGACCUCGCGAGAGCAAGCGGACCUCAUAAAGUGCGUCGUAGUCCGGAUUGGAGUCUGCAACUCGACUCCAUGAAGUCGGAAUCGCUAGUAAUCGUGGAUCAGAAUGCCACGGUGAAUACGUUCCCGGGCCUUGUACACACCGCCCGUCACACCAUGGGAGUGGGUUGCAAAAGAAGUAGGUAGCUUAACCUUCGGGAGGGCGCUUACCACUUUGUGAUUCAUGACUGGGGUGAAGUCGUAACAAGGUAACCGUAGGGGAACCUGCGGUUGGAUCACCUCCUUA
rnacentral:rRNA from 1 species